GGGGAUGUGGCAAAAGUUGGUGAAGUGCAUGCCUAGCAAGCAUGAGGCCCUGGGUUCAAGCCUCAGUACCCCA
rnacentral:tRNA from 1 species